UCAGAAUGAACGCUGGCGGCGUGCUUAACACAUGCAAGUUGAACGAGAAAGGUUGUGCUUGCACGAUCGAGUAGAGUGGCGCACGGGUGAGUAACACGUAGAUAAUCUACCUUUGAGACAGGGAUAACUAUUCGAAAGAGUAGCUAAUACCUGAUGAUGUCUGAGUGACUUAGGUUAGACAGAUGAAAGAUGGCUUGGAGACGAGCGAUUGAUUGAAGAUGAGUCUGCGUACCAUUAGUUAGUUGGUGGGGUAAGAGCCUACCAAGGCGAUGAUGGUUAGCUGGUCUGAGAGGAUGAUCAGCCACACUGGAACUGAAACACGGUCCAGACUCCUACGGGAGGCAGCAGUGAGGGAUUUUGCGCAAUGGGGGCAACCCUGACGCAGCAACGCCGCGUGAGUGAAGAAGGCCUUUGGGUUGUAAAGCUCUGUCAAUGGGGAAGAAGUUAUUAUAUUUUAAUAGAGUAUAGUAUUGACGGUACCUAAGAAGGAAGCAUCGGCUAACUCCGUGCCAGCAGCCGCGGUAAUACGGGGGAUGCAAGCGUUAUUCGGAAUUAUUGGGCGUAAAGGGCGCGUAGGCGGUAUUAUAAGCUAGGUGUGAAAGUCCGGGGCUUAACCUUGGAAGAGCAUUUGGAACUGUAGUACUUGAGUACGGUAGAGGGAAGCGGAAUUCCUGGUGUAGAGGUGAAAUUCGUAGAUAUCAGGAGGAACACCGGUGGCGAAGGCGGCUUUCUGGGCCUGUACUGACGCUGAGGCGCGAAGGCGUGGGUAGCGAACAGGAUUAGAUACCCUGGUAGUCCACGCAGUAAACGUUGCACACUUGGUGUUGCGGGUAUUGACCCCUGCAGUGCCGAAGCAAACGCGAUAAGUGUGCCGCCUGGGGAGUACGGUCGCAAGACUAAAACUCAAAGAAAUUGACGGGGGCCCGCACAAGCGGUGGAGCAUGUGGUUUUAUUCGACGCAACGCGCAGAACCUUACCCAGACUUGACAUCUUGAGAAUCCUUAAGAGAUUAGGGAGUGCCUUUUAGGAGCUCAAAGACAGGUGCUGCAUGGCUGUCGUCAGCUCGUGUCGUGAGAUGUUUGGUUAAGUCCAGCAACGAGCGCAACCCUUAUCUUCAGUUGCCAGCGCGUAGAGGUGGGAACUCUGAAGAGACUGCCCCGGUUAACGGGGAGGAAGGUGGGGAUGACGUCAAGUCCUCAUGGCCCUUAUGUCUGGGGCUACACACGUGCUACAAUGGUAUGUACAGAGGGCAGCGAGCUAAAGAUAGUGAGCGAACCCCCCAAAGCAUAUCCCAGUCCGGAUUGAAGUCUGCAACUCGACUUCAUGAAGUUGGAAUCGCUAGUAAUCGCGGAUCAGCAUGCCGCGGUGAAUACGUUCCCGGGCCUUGUACACACCGCCCGUCACACCAUGAGAGUUGAUUGUACCCGAUGUUAUUGGGCUAACGCGUAAGCGGGGCAGGUACCUAAGGUAUGGUUGAUAAUUAGGGUGAAGUCGUAACAAGGUAUCCGUA
rnacentral:rRNA from 1 species